GACGAACGCUGGCGGCGUGGAUUAGGCAUGCAAGUCGAACGGUAUCAUCCUUUCGGGGGUGAGAGAGUGGCGAACUGGUGAGUAACACGUAGGUUAUCUACCCUCAAGACGGGGACAACCCAGGGAAACUUGGGCUAAUACCGGAUGUGAGCAACUUUUAGUUGUUUGAAAGGUGGCGUAAGCUGUCGCUUGGGGAUGAGCCUGCGUCCUAUUAGUUAGUUGGUGAGGUAACGGCUCACCUAGGCAAUGAUAGGUAGGCGGCCUUAACGGGUGGUCGCCCACACUGGGAUUGAGAUACGGCCCAGACUCCUACGGGAGCAGCAGUCGAGAAUAGUCUACAAUGGUCGGAAGACUGAUAGUGCGACGCCGCGUGAACGAUGAAUCCCUUCGGGGUGUAAAGUUCUUUUAUAUGUGAGCAGUGCUUCUUAUAUUAACAGUAUGGGGAAGAGAUAUUAGCAUAUGAAUAAGCAACGGCUAACUCCGUGCCAGCAGCCGCGGUAA
rnacentral:rRNA from 1 species